CCUACGGGCGGCAGCAGUGAGGAAUAUUGGUCAAUGGACGAGAGUCUGAACCAGCCAAGUAGCGUGAAGGAUGACUGCCCUAUGGGUUGUAAACUUCUUUUAUAAAGGAAUAAAACGAGGCACGUGUGCCUUUUUGCAUGUACUUUAUGAAUAAGGAUCGGCUAACUCCGUGCCAGCAGCCGCGGUAAUACGGAGGAUCCGAGCGUUAUCCGGAUUUAUUGGGUUUAAAGGGAGCGUAGAUGGGUUGUUAAGUCAGUUGUGAAAGUUUGCGGCUCAACCGUAAAAUUGCAAUUGAUACUGGCAGUCGUGAGUACAGUUGAGGUAGGCGGAAUUCGUGGUGUAGCGGUGAAAUGCUUAGAUAUCACGAAGAACCCCGAUUGCGAAGGCAGCUUACUAAACUCUGACUGACAUUGAUGCUCGAAAGUGUGGGUAUCAAACAGGAUUAGAUACCCGGGUAGUC
rnacentral:rRNA from 1 species